ACUGGGAUGGCAGAGCUCGGUAAUUGCAAAAGGCCUAAGCCCUUCAGCCAGGGGUUCAAGUCCCCUUCCCAGUU
rnacentral:tRNA from 2 species